CCUACGGGAGACAGCAGUGAGGAAUAUUGGUCAAUGGGCGCAAGCCUGAACCAGCCAAGUCGCGUGAGGGAUGACGGUCCUAUGGAUUGUAAACCUCUUUUGUCGGGGAGCAAGGCCCGCCACGUGUGGCCGGCCGGAUAGUCCCCGAAGAAAAAGCAUCGGCUACCUCCGUGCCAGCAGCCGCGGUAAUACGGAGGAUGCGAGCGUUAUCCGGAUUUAUUGGGUUUAAAGGGUGCGUAGGCGGAAGGUUAAGUCAGCGGUAAAAUGUCGGGGCUCAACACCGGCCUGCCGUUGAAACUGGUAGUCUUGAGUGAGCGAGAAGUAUGCGGAAUGCGUGGUGUAGCGGUGAAAUGCAUAGAUAUCACGAAGAACUCCGAUUGCGAAGGCAGCAUACCGGCGCGCAACUGACGCUGAGGCACGAAAGCGUGGGGAUCGAACAGGAUUAGAUACCCGGGUAGUC
rnacentral:rRNA from 1 species